GAGUCUUCCGCAAUGGACGAAAGUCUGACGGAGCAACGCCGCGUGAGUGAAGAAGGUUUUCGGAUCGUAAAACUCUGUUUUCGGAGAGGAACAAGUAGGGAAGUUACUGUUCCUACCUUUACGGUACCCGACCAGAGAGCCACGUCUGACUCCGUCCCACCAGCCGCGGUAAUACGUAGGUGGCAAGCGUUGUCCGGAUUUAUUGGGCGUAAAGCGAGCGCAGGUGGUUUCUUAAGUCUGAUGUGAAAACCCACGGGUCAACCGUGGAAGGUCAUUGGAAACUGGGGAACUUGAAUGCAGAAGAGGAGAGUGGAAUUCCAUGUGUAGCGGUGAAAUGCGUAGAUAUAUGGAGGAACACCAGUGGCGAAGGCGACUCUCUGGUCUGUUAUUGACACUGAGGCUCGAAAGCGUGGGGAGCAAACA
rnacentral:rRNA from 1 species